rnacentral:rRNA from 1 species
AGAUUGAACGCUGGCGGCAUGCCUAACACAUGCAAGUAGAACGGGAGUAGCAAUACUCUAGUGGCGGACGGGUGAGGAAUACGUAGGAAUUUGCCCUUAAGUGGGGGAUAACCCGGGGAAACCCGGAUUAAUACCGCAUGACCUCGAAAGAGCAAAGUGGGGGAUCGCAAGACCUCACGCUUUUGGAGAAGCCUACGUCGGAUUAGCUAGUUGGUGAGGUAAUGGCUCACCAAGGCGACGAUCCGUAACUGGUCUGAGAGGAUGAUCAGUCACACCGGAACUGAGACACGGUCCGGACUCCGUACGGGAGGCAGCGAGUGGGGAAUAGUUGGAACAAUGGGCGCAAGCCUGAUCCAGCAAUGCCGCGUGUGUGGAAGAAGGCCUUCGGGUGUAAAGCUAACGUUUAAGGUAGGGUAAAGAAAAACUCGCUACUAACAACAGU